AUUGUAUUACGAGCGGAAAUUGUUACCAUUUUCGGCUCAAAAAUGGUAACAAUUUCCGCACGUAAUACAAA
rnacentral:miRNA from 1 species